AGUGAACGCUGGCGGUAGGCCUAACACAUGCAAGUCGAACGGCAGCACAGUAAGAGCUUGCUCUUACGGGUGGCGAGUGGCGGACGGGUGAGGAAUACAUCGGAAUCUACUUUUUCGUGGGGGAUAACGUAGGGAAACUUCCGCUAAUACCGCAUACGACCUACGGGUGAAAGCAGGGGUUCUUCGGACCUUGCGCGAUUGAAUGAGCCGAUGUCGGAUUAGCUAGUUGGCGGGGUAAAGGCCCACCAAGGCGACGAUCCGUAGCUGGUCUGAGAGGAUGAUCAGCCACACUGGAACUGAGACACGGUCCAGACUCCUACGGGAGGCAGCAGUGGGGAAUAUUGGACAAUGGGCGCAAGCCUGAUCCAGCCAUACCGCGUGGGUGAAGAAGGCCUUCGGGUUGUAAAGCCCUUUUGUUGGGAAAGAAAAGCAGCAGGUUAAUACCCCGCUGUUCUGACGGUACCCAAAGAAUAAGCACCGGCUAACUUCGUG
rnacentral:rRNA from 1 species